rnacentral:rRNA from 1 species
GACGAACGCUGGCGGCGUGCCUAAUACAUGCAAGUUGAGCGAUGAAGAUUGGUGCUUGCACCAAUUUGAAGAGCAGCGAACGGGUGAGUAACGCGUGGGUACUCUGCCUUUGAGCGUGGGACAACAUUUGGAAACGAAUGCUAAUACCGCAUAAUAACUUUAAACAUAAGUUUUAAGUUUGAAAGAUGCAAUUGCAUCACUCAAAGAUGAUCCCGAGUUUUAUUAGCUAGUUGGGUAGGUAAAGGCUCACCAAGGCGAUGAUACAUAGCCGGCCUGAUAGGGAGGUCGGCCACAUUGGGAACUAGACAAGGGCCCAAACCCUACGGGGGGGAGCAGUAGGGAAUCUUUGGAAAUGGGCGGAAGUCUUACCGAGGACAGCCGGGGGAGGGAAGAAAGGUUUCGGAUCGUAAAACCAUGUUGGGUGGGAAGAACGUUGAGUAGAGUGGAAAGCUCAUCAAGUGACGGUAACUACACAGAAAGCGACGGCUAACUACGUG